AUUGAACGCUGGCGGCACGCUUAACACAUGCAAGUCGAGCGGUAGCAUGUUUAGUAGCAAUACUAGAUGAUGACGAGCGGCGGACGGGUGAGUAACACGUAGGAACUUGCCCAAUAGAGGGGGACAACCAAGGGAAACUUUGGCUAAUACCGCAUAUACUCGGAAGAGGAAAGCUGCCUGCAAGGGUGGCGCUAUUGGAGAGGCCUGCGGCUGAUUAGCUAGUUGGUGAGGUAAUGGCUCACCAAGGCUGGGAUCAGUAACUGGUCUGAGAGGACGACCAGUCAAACUGGGACUGAGACACGGCCCAGACUCCUACGGUAGGCAGCAGUGGGGAAUCUUGGACAAUGGGGGCAACCCUGAUCCAGCGAUGCCGCGUGAGUGAAGAAGGCCUUCGGGUCGUAAAGCUCUUUAGGUUGGGAGGAAGGUUGGUAGUUUAAGAGAUAACUAACUUGACUGUACUAACAGAAUAAGCACCGGCAAACUCUGUGCCAGCCGCCGCCGUAA
rnacentral:rRNA from 1 species